GUCCACGCCGUAACGAUGAGUACUAGGUGUAGGAGGUCGAUCCCUCCUGUGCCGUAGCUAACGCGUUAAGUACUCCGCCUGAGGACUACGGUCGCAAGACUAAACUCAAAGGAAUAGACGGGACCCACACAAGCGGUGGAGCAUGUUGUUUAAUUCGACAUUAAACGAGAACCUUACCCAGGUUUGACAUCCCGAGAACCCUGCAGAGAUGCGGGGUGCCGCAAGGAACUCGGUGACAGGUGCUGCAUGGUUGUCGU
rnacentral:rRNA from 1 species